rnacentral:rRNA from 14 species
CACCCGAUCUCGUCUGAUCUCGGAAG